rnacentral:rRNA from 1 species
UGAGGAAUUUUGCGCAAUGGGAGCAAUCCUGACGCAGCAACGCCGCGUGGGUGAUGAAGGCCUUCGGGUCGUAAAGCCCUGUCAGGCGGGAAGAAUGUCCCGGGACUGAACAGGUUCCGGGAGUGACGGUACCACCAGAGGAAGCACCGGCUAACUCCGUGCCAGCAGCCGCGGUAAUACGGAGGGUGCAAGCGUUAUUCGGAAUUACUGGGCGUAAAGCGCGUGUAGGCGGUCCCGCAAGUCUGAUGUGAAAGCCCCGGGCUUAACCCGGGAAGUGCAUUGGAAACUGUGGGACUUGAGUACUGGGGAGGAUGGGGGAAUUCCCGGUGUAGAGGUGAAAUUCGUAGAGAUCGGGAGGAAUAUCAGUGGCGUAGGCGCCCAUCUGGGCGGUAACUGACGCUGAGACGCGAAAGCGUGGGGAGCAAACA